UACGAAGGGGGCUAGCGUUGUUCGGAAUCACUGGGCGUAAAGGGCGCGUAGGCGGCUUUGUAAGUUAGAAGUGAAAUGCCAGGGCUUAACCUUGGAACUGCUUUUAAAACUGCAUGGCUAGAGUAUGGGAGAGGAUGGUGGAAUUCCUAGUGUAGAGGUGAAAUUCGUAGAUAUUAGGAGGAACACCGGUGGCGAAGGCGGCCAUCUGGACCAUUACUGACGCUGAGGCGCGAAAGCGUGGGGAUCAAACAGG
rnacentral:rRNA from 1 species